GCAUUAAUGGGGUAGUGGUAACCUGGGUCGUUGCCAUGCUGGCUUGCUUGCACAGUCGAGUUCGACCCGCCGCGGGUUCGAUUCCCGCUUGAUGCA